UCAAGGGUUUGCGCAGUAUUUUUGUGGUUGCAAUGAACGAUACAAACUAGGAAGUGAUGGUCAUUCGUGUUUACCCGUGUGUCAUUAUCCAUGUCGAAACAAUGGAAGAUGUGUUGCACCAGACCUGUGUGAGUGCACUGAUGGAUACACAUUUGAUGACUGUUCUCUAUUCUGUGGAGAUUCUUACCUAACGAGUGAAAUGGGAGUGCUUAAUUCUCCAGUAAAUACUUUGCGGUGGCCUCAAAGGCUGAGAUGUCAGUGGACAGUUCAAGCACCCGAAGGAUUUUUGAUACAUUUGAAGUUUGACAAGAUGGAUGAUGGUUGCAACACUUGGUGUUCAUCUGAAAAUGUUACGAUUCGAGGUGUGCAGGAUGAGCAAGUAGUGAUAUGUCGUGGAGCUCAGAUCCCUCAUGAAGUAAUUUCACUGGGGAGUAGAUUGUCUGUUUUGUAUAUGAGCUGGACUAGCAAUCAACCCUCCUCUUGUGUGUUUCGAAUGAGAUAUCAAG